AGUGAACGCUGGCGGUAGGCCUAACACAUGCAAGUCGAACGGCAGCACAGUAAGAGCUUGCUCUUACGGGUGGCGAGUGGCGGACGGGUGAGGAAUACAUCGGAAUCUACUUUUUCGUGGGGGAUAACGUAGGGAAACUUACGCUAAUACCGCAUACGACCUACGGGUGAAAGCAGGGGAUCUUCGGACCUUGCGCGAUUGUAUGAGCCGAUGUCGGAUUAGCUAGUUGGCGGGGUAAAGGCCCACCAAGGCGACGAUCCGUAGCUGGUCUGAGAGGAUGAUCAGCCACACUGGAACUGAGACACGGUCCAGACUCCUACGGGAGGCAGCAGUGGGGAAUAUUGGACAAUGGGCGCAAGCCUGAUCCAGCAAUACCGCGUGGGUGAAGAAGGCCUUCGGGUUGUAAAGCCCUUUUGUUAGGAAAGAAAAGCAGCAGGUUAAUACCCCGCUGUUCUGACGGUACCUAAAGAAUAAGCACCGGCUAACUUCGUG
rnacentral:rRNA from 1 species